UUUGGACAUGGCUGCUGUUAUGUGCUGGAGAGAGAGAGUAGGGCAAUGCAUUCAACUUUCGAAGCGUCGGAAUAAAUAUGUUGAUUGACUUAAAAACUUUAAUUUCAACAGUAUUUUUUGUUAUAAAUCCUUUAGACACAUAAUACCAUUUAAAACCAUUCUAAUAAUCUAAAGCAGUCUCUGAGUAAUGGUGACAUUAUAAAGAUCAUGAGCAAUGUGGACAUUAUAAAGAUCAUGAGUAGUGGUGACAUAUGGAUUAUGAGCAAAAGUUUUGUGACAUUCAUGGUUUUUGUAUUUGUGAAAUCCUAUUUACCUUCACAACACACUGAAGGCUAAAAAUGAGAGUUUGUCUAAGACAGAACACAGAUUGAACUGGCCUUCACGUCAGCCAGAAAUUAAAUUCGACAAAAAAAAAAAAAAAAAAAAAAAAAACAGCAUUAAAAUAUGAUUUUAAAAACUAACAAGAAAAACAUAUAAUAAUGACUUAUAUAACAUAUAGAGCGAUUUUUUUCUCAUAAUAAUGAAUGAAUGUAAGAUUUUAAAAUAGGACAUUUUUAAUCCAUUCUCACCCUCCCCACCACCCACCCACCCCCAUGAGAAAGUAUCCUGGUUAAGUGAAAGUAUAGAUCUACUAGACUUUAUAAUAUUCCAGUGAUAGUCCCCAUUAGAUCUAGAUUUAGAAGACGAUGCGCAAAAUGUUCCUGAAAGUUAAUUUAUUAAAAUCUUGCAAUGUAAUACGGAAAUACCCGAAGAUAUAUAUAGUCCGUUUUUUAUUUUCUCGUUCUCCAGCCAAAUUUAAAUGUAUUUCUUUUUUUACUUUGAAAAUAUAUAACGGUCAAACUAGAUUUUUCUCCCAGACUAGCCAACGAGCUUUUAUUUCCUUUCCCAACAAUAUACAGCAACUGUCAAAUUUCUAGGAAAAGCGUUAGGAGCCGUUUUCGAGAAUCGCGUCGACCCACCAAGAAGUUUCCACCCAAGUUUUUGUUUCCACUGAAGCAACGAAUUGAAUAGAUGUAUUGGAAAAAUGAUUCUUCUAUGUCACUUUUCAAUAAAGAGCUUUACGUCUGAAUGCACUAGGAAGAAGACCGUCUCAAGAUGUGUCUACAUUUCAAUAACUGCUGUACGUCUAAAGAACAAACAAAAAACGUUUGCGGCCAAGAGAACAUCAUUUCAAGUGAUGUCUUCUUUGAACUCAAGAGAGAGAUUUACUCUGUAAGUAUGCACAGUGCAUUUAUCAAUCCAGAUCUACAUCUAGUUAAUUAAACCUUGCUGCACUUAAUCUUUUAAUAAUUGGAAUUUAAAAAGGUAAAAUUUCUCCAUAAUAAAUCACUAAACAAAGAAUUGGGAUGACGCCAAACAGUUUUUAGAAAAUAGAUGUUCUACUUACAGACUCUCUUGACGCUUCAGCGAA